GCGGUAAUACCAGCUCUCCGAGUGGUAGGGAUGUUUAUUGGGCUUAAAGCGUCCGUAGCUGGCUCAACAAGUCCUCCGUUAAAUCCAGCGAUUUAAUCGUUGGACUGCGGGGGAUACUGUUGGGCUGGGGGACGGGAGAGGCCGACGGUAUUCUCGGAGUAGGGGUGAAAUCCUAUAAUUCCGG
rnacentral:rRNA from 1 species